AGCAUGAAGCAAGAUAUUCAAGAAUUGAUCAAAACUCCAAAGUGUGAGGAAAACACCACUUUCUCUUUAGCAUCCUCACUCCUGACCACAAAAAGGGAUAUUUGUCCACAGUCUCCAUCCGUAGUGUCUCAGCACUGUACUUCAAGAACAACAGCAAGCACUCCAUUCCUCCACAGAUAAUAGCAAAUGGCGGCCCCUCCUGUCCUACUCGCAGAACAGCAAGCAUCAUCCCCUCCUGCCUUUCCCCUAUAUCCACAGACACUCAUAAUGUAAGUUGCCAGACAGUAGAGUCCUCCCUUGUCCCCUGUGAUGCCUGUGCUCAGGUCCAGUCCAGCCUGAGGGAGACUGGUGAUGCUCUUGUGGAGCUGUGUCGGAGCGAGGGCCUUCCCACCUCUGCAGCGCCUCCUGGUGGCUGCGGAUGACACUAUGUAGCAGGGCCGUCUGACUGUAGGAGAUGUGUCUCAGUGGUCCACAGAGCAGCACAGGGACAUGGGUCAGGUGGGAAAGCAUCUGCUGAAGGUGCAGUCCACAGUGCAGGGCUCAGCUGGGGGAGGGAACAGGAGGAACUAAAGCGUGAAUGGGCAAAGGAUCAAGCAAGCCUCUCCCAGGCAUCCAGGAAGGAGACAGAGAGGAGACUGCAGGACGAACAUGAGGAGCUGAGGUGAGGUACAGUAGCACUCAGAGGAAACCUCGCUGACAACAAUAUAUUUGAAGGGGGACGAAAUAUUGUAACAUUUCAAUAGUAAAUAUGCUUUCAUGUUAUUCACAAUAUACUGUAUAUCUGUCCAUUUUAGGCUCCAUGUCCCUGGAGGAUAGCAACUCCAAACUGAAGGCAGAGAUUAGUUUGCAACAAGAAAGGUUACACAAACUCGAGUGUGAGAGAGAUAAGCUACAUCAGGAAGUGAAGGCCUUGCAGGUAGAGGAAGAGGCACGGAAUAAACAAGAGGAGAAGACACAAACACUGGAGGCUCAACUGUCCAGUACUCAGCUCUUACUUGACAAAGAGAACUCCAAGUACCAGAAUGCAUGUCACCAACAGGAGUCACUGCAGGCCAAGCAGAUGUCUCUAUUGGAGAGAGUGGAUGCUCUGGACCAGGAGUGUGAGGAGCUUCAAGGACAAUUGGGGGAGACUGAGGACACACAGACAGACCUACAGGAUAGACUGACACACAUCUCAGAGGAGAAGGACCAACUUAAAACCCAGCUCACCCAAGAACAGGUACAUUACUACCAGACAGAUGUGACUCAACACAAUAUUAAGCACAAUGAAAUGUUUCACGUCAUAGUUAAUUUUAUAGUGCUGCUUGCAUACGUUGGGCAGAGCCAUACUUCAGCAUAG
rnacentral:lncRNA from 1 species